AACGAACGCUGGCGGCAGGCUUAACACAUGCAAGCCGAACGAGAUCUUCGGAUCUAGUGGCGGACGGGUGAGGAACACGUGGGAACAUCCCUUUCAGUUCGGAAUAACGUUGGGAAACUAACGCUAAUACCGGAUACGUCCUUCGGGAGAAAGAUUUAUCGCUGAAAGAUUGGCCCGCGUCUGAUUAGCUAGUUGGUGAGGUAACGGCUCACCAAGGCUACGAUCAGUAGCUGGUCUGAGAGGAUGAUCAGCCACAUUGGGACUGAGACACGGCCCAAACUCCUACGGGAGGCAGCAGUGGGGAAUAUUGGACAAUGGGCGCAAGCCUGAUCCAGCCAUGCCGCGUGAGUGAUGACGGCCUUCGGGUUGUAAAGCUCUUUUGUCCGGGAAGAUAAUGACUGUACCGGAAGAAUAAGCCCCGGCAAACUUCGUGCCAGCAGCCGCCGUAA
rnacentral:rRNA from 1 species